UCAUAUCUUUUUGUCCAGCUUUCUCUCUUCCACACUUACUCUCCCUCAGUCCACCCCGCUUGCUCCUACGCUUUCUCUCUUCACUCUCUUCCAUGUCUUUUCCACUUUCACAGUCGUAUUUCUCUUCUCAUCUUUCGCCGUCGUCGACUCGACCACCACCGUCAGCGGUGGAUUUUCUCCUGCGGCCUCCUCUCUAGCUCUCUCCGUCCAGUUGCCUCUUCCGUUUCCCGGUGGUCGAUCAAUGGCUCUGAGCGCGACAGUCACAGUGAGGCAACCAAAUACGACACACAAUUCUUUUACGACUUGGGAAGCAUUCCGGUGACGAUUCAAUUUCCACCGUUGAGUGAUGGCUCAGUGGCCCCGUAACUUUUGCAAUUGAAAUUCUAACGGUGGUGCAGCUAUAUGCAUCUUUGUGGAUGAAUGUAUGAGGUCCGGUCGUUGAAUAUGCCAGGUUGUUACUUGCUUAGUUGAAGAGACUUUGAUUUGCGGGAGGAAAUAUAUGAUAUUAGUUUUGAUUCAUGAAGGUAUGCUGCACUUUGCAUCAUCUCCUACUUUAUGCCCUUUCAAUUUGAGCUAAUUUAUUUUUUUGAUUGUUCAAGUUCAAUAAUUGUCAUUCUCCAUUGUUCAAGUUGAAUAUUGCCAUUCUCAAUUUGUGCUAUUCGUUUGAGUGAUUUCUAUGUGUUGAAUGAAUUUUAAGUUAUCUGAUGGAUGAAGGAGAAGCUUUUGAACUAGCUCAAUGCCAUUUCAUGGUCAUCAAAACCUUGGAGGAAUAUGUGUCUCUUGCUACAGUUAUAAAAGUAGGAGAAGAUCUUCAAUGGCCUUUAACUAAAGAUGAGCCUGUGGUGAAGCUAGAUGCUCUCCAUUACAUUUGAGUGAUUUCUAUUUUUUGAAUGAAUUUUAAGUUCAUCUGAUUGAUGAAGGAGAAGCUUUUGAUAUCUAUUUGUAUCUACUAAAUGAUUUCCAUAUUAUAUUUGUAUCUACUAAACGAUAUCUAUUGAAUGUUCUUUUUUAGUUAUAAGUUGAUUAAGGGUCCUUUAAAGUUUGCAUCUGAUUUUUUGACAUUAAUUUAUGGAGAAUCAUUGAUCUUUAAAGCGCUGAUUUUUUUUUGAUGUAAAUGGUCAGUUUUUUCGAUGUAAAUCGAUCAACAAAAAGUCAAGGGCAGUCGUUAAAACAAGUUGCUACCGCACGGGUCAUAUAUAGUUGAGAACAUUUUAAUGGUUAGUAGGAGUAGACACUCUAACCUCUCUUACUGUUUGUGUUUUUGUUGGAUUGCAGGUGAAUUGGAAACUAAUUAACAGGACUUUCAUGCUAUUGUUGUUACAAGACAGUUCCCACAAUAUAUGUAUUUGCAAUCUGUUUCAUGGUAUUGAAAAUGCAUUAUGAAUUCACUUAUCUGUAUUUUUGUGUGUUUUUCAAAUGAAUUUGCAAUCUGUUUCAUGGUAUUUGCAAUCAGUUUUUUUCCAAUGGAAAACUUUAUGUUGCGGUUUCUAGAGUUACCUCAAGAAAAGGAUUGAAAAUUCUAUUGGCACAUGAAGAUGGUAACUGUAUGAAUACUACAUCAAAUGUUGUGUAUAAAGAAGUAUUCCGUAAUCUGUAGUCAAUCCUGCUGUAUGAUUGUGAUGCUACUUUGAUAGGUUAAGUUCAAUAUGCAGCAGAAGGCUAUUGGCUAUUUGUGCGUCAUUCAGAAUCAGUUAUAUGAAUUGGAAAGUUAUUUACAUGACUUUAAUUUGAUCAUCAUUGUUAGAAGUAGAGGAAGCAGAUAUUAUGAAAUUGUAAUCUGUCAAAUGGUAGUGAACAUGAAAUGUGCAUAGGCAUUGGAUGAUGGAAAUGUAUAUUGUAAUUAUUGUAAUUACAAUUAUUAAUCGCCGUAUUUAGUUAUUGUAAUUAUUCACGUGCAAUAUUGACAA